rnacentral:ncRNA from 1 species
AGAGCUCCUUAGUUCAAUAUCUCGGCACACACCGCAAUGCUGCGUACAAUAUUUUUCUAAUAUUAUGGGGUAUCCUUUCCGAAUAAUAAAUUAAUAGAUUAAGUUAUGUUAUUGAAACCAUGCUAUGUGGAACUGUGUAUAAGUACAGAUGAUUUUUUUAGCUCGGAAACUUGGAAAGAUAGAAGAAUAUUUUGAAGAACAAAAUGUUUUGUAUCGAAAGAGAAAUUUCAGUAAUAAAGAAUCAAACCUCUAGAACUGUAGGUGAAAUUCUUGGAUCGUCGCAAGAUGGACAGAAGCGAAAGCAUUUGCCAAGAAUGUUUUCUCUGAUCAAGAACGAAAGUUAGAGGUUCGAAGGCGAUCAGAUACCGCCCUAGUUCUAACCAUAGUUCGAC